rnacentral:rRNA from 1 species
UACGAAGGGUGCAAGCGUUACUCGGAAUUACUGGGCGUAAAGGGUGCGUAGGUGGUUUGUUAAGUCCGUUGUGAAAUCCCUGGGCUCAACCUGGGAAUGGCAGUGGAUACUGGCAAGCUAGAGUGCGGUAGAGGGUAGUGGAAUUCCCGGUGUAGCAGUGAAAUGCGUAGAUAUCUGGAGGAACACCGGUGGCGAAGGCGGCAUCCUGGACCGACACUGACGCUGAGGAGCGAAAGCCAGGGGAGCAAACGGG